rnacentral:rRNA from 1 species
AACGAACGCUGGCGGCAUGCCUAACACAUGCAAGUCGAACGAGACCUUCGGGUCUAGUGGCGCACGGGUGCGUAACGCGUGGGAACCUGCCCUUAGGUUCGGAAUAACUCCCCGAAAGGGGUGCUAAUACCGGAUAAUGUCUUCGGACCAAAGAUUUAUCGCCUUUGGAUGGGCCCGCGUUGGAUUAGCUAGUUGGUAGGGUAAAAGCCUACCACGGCGACGAUCCAUAGCUGGUCUGAGAGGAUGAUCAGCCACACUGGGACUGAGACACGGCCCAGACUCCUACGGGAGGCAGCAGUGGGGAAUAUUGGACAAUGGGCGAAAGCCUGAUCCAGCAAUGCCGCGUGAGUGAUGAAGGCCUUAGGGUUGUAAAGCUCUUUUAACCGGGAUGAUAAUGACAGUACCGGGAGAAUAAGCCCCGGCUAACUCCGUG